rnacentral:rRNA from 1 species
CCUACGGGUGGCAGCAGUGAGGAAUAUUGGUCAAUGGGCGCAAGCCUGAACCAGCCAAGUCGCGUGAGGGAUGACGGUCCUAUGGCUUGUAAACCUCUUUUGUCGGGGAGCAAGGCCCGCCACGUGUGGCGGGAAGGAGAGUACCCGAAGAAAAAGCAUCGGCUAACUCAGUGCCAGCAGCCGCGGUAAUACGGAGGGUGCAAGCGUUGUCCGGAAUCAUUGGGCGUAAAGAGUGCGUAGGCGGCAUGUAAAGUCAGGUGGUAAAGGCGCAGGCUCAACCUGUGUAUGGCACGUGAUACUUGCAAGCUGGAGUGCGGGAGAGGUAAAGGGAAUUCCUGGUGUAGCGGUGAAAUGCUUAGAUAUCAGGAGGAACAUCGGUGGCGUAAGCGCUUUACUGGGCCGUAAUUGACGCUGAGGAACGAAAGCCAGGGUAGCAAAUGGGAUUAGAUACCCGAGUAGUC